rnacentral:rRNA from 1 species
GGCGAACGGGUGAGGAACACGUGAGAAACGUACCCCAGACUUUGGGAUAACAGUUCGAAAGGACUGCUAAUACCAAAUAACGUCGGAAGUCCGCAUGGACAUCUGACGAAAGGGAUUCCGGUUUGGGAGCGUCUCGCGGACCUAUCAGCUAGUUGGAGGGGUAACGGCCCACCAAGGCAACGACGGGUAGCUGGUCUGAGAGGAUGGUCAGCCACACUGGGACUGAGACACGGCCCAGACUCCUACGGGAGGCAGCAGUAGGGAAUAUUGGGCAAUGGACGCAAGUCUGACCCAGCCAUGCCGCGUGCAGGAUGAAGGCGUUAUGCGUUGUAAACUGCUUUUAUACAGGAAGAAACGACUCUUGCGAGAGGCAUUGACGGUACUGUAUGAAUAAGCACCGGCUAACUCCGUGCCAGCAGCCGCGGUAAUACGGAGGGUGCAAGCGUUGUCCGGAUUUAUUGGGUUUAAAGGGUGCGCAGGUGGUUUAUUAAGUCAGUGGUGAAAGACGGUCGCUCAACGAUUGCAGUGCCAUUGAAACUGGUAGACUUGAGUAAAGUAGAGGUGGGCGGAAUUGAUAGUGUAGCGGUGAAAUGCAUAGAUAUUAUCAAGAACUCCAAUUGCGAAGGCAGCUCACUUGGCUUUUACUGACACUCAUGCACGAAAGUGUGGGUAUCAAACAGGAUUAGAUACCCUGGUAGUCCACACUGUAAACGAUGAUAACUAGGUGUCGGCCGAAUCUGGUCGGUGCCACAGCGAAAGCGUUAAGUUAUCCACCUGGGGAGUACGCCGGCAACGGUGAAACUCAAAGGAAUUGACGGGGGUCCGCACAAG